rnacentral:rRNA from 1 species
CCUACGGGAGGCAGCAGUGAGGAAUAUUGGUCAAUGGACGAGAGCCUGAACCAGCCAAGUAGCGUGAAGGAUGACUGCCCUAUGGGUUGUAAACUUCUUUUAUAUGGGAAUAAAACAGGGUAUGCAUACCCUCCUGUAUGUACCCUAUGAAUAAGGAUCGGCUAACUCCGUGCCAGCAGCCGCGGUAAUACGGGGGAUCCGAGCGUUAUCCGGAUUUAUUGGGUGUAAAGGGCGCGUAGGUGGAUUGUUAAGUCGGUUGUGAAAGUUUGCGGCUCAACCGUAAAAUUGCAGUUGAAACUGGCAGUCUUGAGUACAGUAGAGGUAGGCGGAAUUCGUGGUGUAGCGGUGAAAUGCUUAGAUAUCACGAAGAACUCCGAUUGCGAAGGCAGCUCACUGGACUGCAACUGACGCUGAUGCUCGAAAGUGUGGGUAUCAAACAGGAUUAGAUACCCGAGUAGUC